rnacentral:rRNA from 1 species
UUUAUGGGGUGACUGCGUACCUUUUGUAUAAUGGGUCAGCGACUUAUAUUCUGUAGCAAGGUUAACCGAAUAGGGGAGCCGAAGGGAAACCGAGUCUUAACUGGGCGUUAAGUUGCAGGGUAUAGACCCGAAACCCGGUGAUCUAGCCAUGGGCAGGUUGAAGGUUGGGUAACACUAACUGGAGGACCGAACCGACUAAUGUUGAAAAAUUAGCGGAUGACUUGUGGCUGGGGGGGAAAGGCCAAUCAAACCGGGAGAUAGCUGGUUCUCCCCGAAAGCUAUUUAGGUAGCGCCUCGUGAACUCAUCUCCGGGGGUAGAGCACUGUUUCGGCAAGGGGGUCAUCCCGACUUACCAACCCGAUGCAAACUGCGAAUACCGGAGAAUGUUAUCACGGGAGACACACGGCGGGGGCUAACGUCCGUCGUGAAGAGGGAAACAACCCAGACCGCCAGCUAAGGUCCCAAAGUCAUGGUUAAGUGGGAAACGAUGUGGGAAGGCCCAGACAGCCAGGAUGUUGGCUUAGAAGCAGCCAUCAUUUAAAGAAAGCGUAAUAGCUCACUGGUCGAGUCGGCCUGCGCGGAAGAUGUAACGGGGCUAAACCAUGCACCGAAGCUGCGGCAGCGACGCUUAUGCGUUGUUGGGUAGGGGAGCGUUCUGUAAGCCUGUGAAGGUGGCCUGUGAGGGUUGCUGGAGGUAUCAGAAGUGCGAAUGCUGACAUAAGUAACGAUAAAGCGGGUGAAAAGCCCGCUCGCCGGAAGACCAAGGGUUCCUGUCCAACGUUAAUCGGGGCAGGGUGAGUCGACCCCUAAGGCGAGGCCGAAAGGCGUAGUCGAUGGGAAACAGGUUAAUAUUCCUGUACUUGGUGUUACUGCGAAGGGGGGACGGAGAAGGCUAUGUUGGCCGGGCGACGGUUGUCCCGGUUUAAGCGUGUAGGCUGGUUUUCCAGGCAAAUCCGGAAAAUCAAGGCUGAGGCGUGAUGACGAGGCACUACGGUGCUGAAGCAACAAAUGCCCUGCUUCCAGGAAAAGCCUCUAAGCAUCAGGUAACAUCAAAUCGUACCCCAAACCGACACAGGUGGUCAGGUAGAGAAUACCAAGGCGCUUGAGAGAACUCGGGUGAAGGAACUAGGCAAAAUGGUGCCGUAACUUCGGGAGAAGGCACGCUGAUGCGUAGGUGAAGCGGUUUACCCGUGGAGCUGAAAUCAGUCGAAGAUACCAGCUGGCUGCAACUGUUUAUUAAAAACACAGCACUGUGCAAACACGAAAGUGGACGUAUACGGUGUGACGCCUGCCCGGUGCCGGAAGGUUAAUUGAUGGGGUCAGCCGCAAGGCGAAGCUCUUGAUCGAAGCCCCGGUAAACGGCGGCCGUAACUAUAACGGUCCUAAGGUAGCGAAAUUCCUUGUCGGGUAAGUUCCGACCUGCACGAAUGGCGUAAUGAUGGCCAGGCUGUCUCCACCCGAGACUCAGUGAAAUUGAACUCGCUGUGAAGAUGCAGUGUACCCGCGGCAAGACGGAAAGACCCCGUGAACCUUUACUAUAGCUUGACACUGAACAUUGAGCCUUGAUGUGUAGGAUAGGUGGGAGGCUUUGAAGCGUGGACGCCAGUCUGCGUGGAGCCGACCUUGAAAUACCACCCUUUAAUGUUUGAUGUUCUAACGUGGACCCGUGAUCCGGGUUGCGGACAGUGUCUGGUGGGUAGUUUGACUGGGGCGGUCUCCUCCUAAAGAGUAACGGAGGAGCACGAAGGUUGGCUAAUCCUGGUCGGACAUCAGGAGGUUAGUGCAAUGGCAUAAGCCAGCUUGACUGCGAGCGUGACGGCGCGAGCAGGUGCGAAAGCAGGUCAUAGUGAUCCGGUGGUUCUGAAUGGAAGGGCCAUCGCUCAACGGAUAAAAGGUACUCCGGGGAUAACAGGCUGAUACCGCCCAAGAGUUCAUAUCGACGGCGGUGUUUGGCACCUCGAUGUCGGCUCAUCACAUCCUGGGGCUGAAGUAGGUCCCAAGGGUAUGGCUGUUCGCCAUUUAAAGUGGUACGCGAGCUGGGUUUAGAACGUCGUGAGACAGUUCGGUCCCUAUCUGCCGUGGGCGCUGGAGAACUGAGGGGGGCUGCUCCUAGUACGAGAGGACCGGAGUGGACGCAUCACUGGUGUUCGGGUUGUCAUGCCAAUGGCACUGCCCGGUAGCUAAAUGCGGAAGAGAUAAGUGCUGAAAGCAUCUAAGCACGAAACUUGCCCCGAGAUGAGUUCUCCCUGACUCCUUGAGAGUCCUGAAGGAACGUUGAAGACGACGACGUUGAUAGGCCGGGUGUGUAAGCGCAGCGAUGCGUUGAGCUAACCGGUACUAAUGAACCGUGAGGCUUAACCUU